AUGGGCCUGGGGGACGGCUGGGGGCUGGGGCCGUGGGCUGGACCGCCUGCCUGCGCAGCCCCGGCCUCUGCCCUGCCCUGCAGGUCCCCACCUCUCAGCGCUGUCACUCAGGCGCUGGCCACACGGUGCGUUUCAGCUUCCCAGUUCUCACUCAAAGGCACAAGCAGCGCCUUGCGCAGCGAGGCCCCCGCCCUUGCAACAAAAGAAGAGAGAGGCGGCAGGCGGCGCUGCCACCUGAUCCUGGGCCUGAGGACGCGUCUGGUUCUGGCCCGGGAGGUUCUUUUCUCCCCCGGUCCCACCAUGUCCUCUGGCGCCACGCGGCUGGUGCAGCGUCUCCGGCCUCCCCGUGACGCCUGCGGUUCCUACGAGGGGACCAGGCCCGAGCCAGCUGCCUGCAUGCACCAGGAAACAAGAGCCAGAGCACACGCCGCCACUGACGCCGGCGGGAGAACGCAGACCAUGACGGCGAGGCCUGGCGCGGCCCCGAGUUCUCCAAACCGCCUUCCCCGCGGGACUCUCCGGGACGCUCUGAGAGCAGCAGCAGCUGCCACUCAGAGCAGAACAGCACCGUGUGGCCGGCACCAUGAGUGUCCGGCGCGUGCUAACGGCGCGACACAGCAAGCUCCCGGCAGCUCUAUCGCGACUUCAAGUGCUUGGCAGGCAGCGCCCAGCAGAGCUGGCGAGCCCGCCUCAGCGCCUGAGCCGCUGGCUCUGUGCCCCACAGGGCAAAGGCCCACUUCCGGCCAGAGGCUCUGCCGGUCUCUGUGGACAAGCGCGGGGGCGCAGGAGCAGGGUCCCAGGCAGAGCGAGGAGACGGCCUCCAUGACCUCGGCAGCUUCUCCCCACAGGCUCCCAGAGGACAGCGCCGGGUCUCGGGCACCUGCACCCUGCACGGCAGAGGCGGUGCCCACGGCGAGCUGUGUCCCUGAGCCCGCUCUGGGUGCCGCCCGCAGCUGUGCGCUGCCAUGCCAGGUGGGUGGUCUCAGGGUGUCCCAAAGCCAGCGUGGGCACGCCCCCCGGCCCCGCCCCUUUCCUGGAUUUCCGGCUCAGGGAAGAAAAGGCGCCCUGGUGAUGUCAGCUGGCCGAGUCCUACCCAGGAUGAGAGUCUGCACCCGCUUCUGGGAUUUCCCAGGGUCGGAUGCCGCUCUUCUCCAGGGAGCUGCCUGCAACCCUGCCCUGCCCGAGUGCUGGGCUCUGCUCGCCCCUCCCCCCGGUUCUGUGCAUUCUGCUUCGGGUCUCACCGCAGCCUCGAGAUGGUGA
rnacentral:lncRNA from 1 species